UUAACAGAAGUUUUAAACAUUUCAUUGUUAAUGAGAAAAUGGGUUAUUGACCCCUGUUAAU
rnacentral:tRNA from 1 species